CAUGCGCAGAUCCGCCUCCUGCGAGGGUCAGUUAGGGUCUAAAAGGAAAGAAGCAGAGGUCAUGGGCUCAGGCCUGGAGAAUAGAGUUUCCCUGCGGACUCUCUUCUGUGUUGGUGGCUUGGUGACAGCCCGCUCCCAGGCAGCCCUAGCCACUGCCAUGGCACGGACUGAGCGAUGAACCUUUUGCUUUCUCCCUGCUUCCAGCCAUCCAGGCACAGAGAUGCCCGCUCAGGCCCCUGACCCCAGCCCCUGGCGCAGAGGCCUUUCCUCUGUUGACAGCCUGAAGACAGGUCAUUUUUCUUCUCUUCCCAUGUAAUGGCCUUUACUCCCCUACCCAUCACUCCCUUUUCAAACCUUAAUGGCUUUAACAUACACA